CCCUCCAAGAAAAAUCCUGGGUACGGCCCACCUGGAAUUGUUGGGAAUGAUUGACAGUAGAUGUUUGCAUGAACAGAUAAAGAAUUUAUCCUAUUAAAUACUCAACUUCAACUUUCACCUUCUAUUACUUUCAAUCCAUCGGGCAAAAUAAGGAACAAAUCUUUUGAAAAGAAUUCUAGAAAUUAUAGACAGAUCGUGCAAUUGCUCUUUUUGAUUUCCCAUCCUAUUUUAUUUCUGUAGCACUUAAUUUAGAUUCACUUUCAACCGAAUACAACAUGUUUUAUAGGUCAAUGGUAUAUUUCUUUACCUAUAACUUCUGUUGCUAGGAAACUUUGCUUAGCUACAAAAAUCUCAAACUCAAGUUGAUAUUCUUGCUGUUUCACACUAUCACCCAGAGCAACACAUGAAUUGACAAGGGGGGGAAACACCUCUUCCCGUCAUGCCUUUUGCUAUAAAUCUCACACUUCUAAGCGGAAAAAUCUGAGAAGCGACAGGAUCAUAGCGUGAGUUUGAGAGCUUCACGCUCCUCUCAGAGAGCGUCCAAUGGAUUCUACUGACAGGCCUGGGAAAAGGGAACAAGCAAACAGUUCAUAAGAAGCCUCAGAAAAGGAGACCUCACUAGAAUAAUUUUUAUUGUGCCAAGUGCUGUAUCCUUCCCUGAUUGUUUGUUUCGCUUAGCAUGUUGCCUACAAAUUUUUCGUUCAUAAAUCUCUAUAUUUUCCGGGAGCUCAUGACUCGCAUAAGCCCUGGUUGUUCUGUGGGCCUCUCACCUUGCCAUUUUUCCCUGUAGUUAUUGUAUGUAGUCCAACUGUAAUUAUGGCAAACAAAUAAAGUGAAUCCAGUGUGCAAUAAACAAUUCUUCGCUAUUCCCUAGCUCGUUGGGAAAAA